UAACCGGAGGAAGUGGGAUGACGUCAAAUCAUCAUGCCCUUAUGACCUGGGCUACACACGUGCUACAAUGGUUGGGUACAACGAGUUGCGAGUCGGUGACGGCGAGCUAAAUCUCUUAAAGCUAAUCUCAGUUCGGAUUGUAGGCUGCAACUCGCCUACAUGAAGUCGGAAUCGCUAGUAAUCGCGGAUCAGCACGCCGCGGUGAAUACGUUCCCGGGCCUU
rnacentral:rRNA from 1 species